rnacentral:lncRNA from 1 species
UCGUGUGCUGAGGGCAUCUUGUCUCAGCUUGCUUGAAGCCAGAUUUGCAACUUUAGAAGGUCGAGGGGAGUGAAGAUGUGUCCAUAGGGCUGAUGGAAGUAUCCACUCACUCUCCUAGCCCCGGGAGUGAGGGCAACGUUACCCUGUCUUCACCCCACCUCGGGGCUGGGCUCUACGCACCAGGACCAGCCGCUUCCAGCCACAGUCUGUGCCACCCCUGGUCCCCACCCAUCACCUGCAGUGCGAGGAGACGUGGUGGUUGUGACACCCAGCAUUUGGGUAGCAGCAGGUCCGGGACUUUUCCCUUUGAGUGAGGUUUUUGAGCCUUUGGGGUUGACGCCAUGAAGCUUUCUUCCACCCUUCUGAGAGCACUGUUUGUUGUUGUUGGAUCUGAGGUUGUGCUUAAAGGAUGGGAAGACUGUGCCAUCACACGAUCUGGGUCUCCAGAGCCCAAAGGCUGUACCCGGCAGGCGUGAGGCUCCCUGUGCCCACAGAGCAUCUGGCAGGCUCCCUGGUCCUCUGUCCCUCACUGGGAUCAUGGUGCCAAGGGCUGUGGGACGGCCACACAACUCAGGAGCUCUGCUCCUUCCUGGUGGCUGCUCUCAAAAUGCUGAAUUGAUCUGUGAGUGGUGGGGAAAGGGAAGUGAGAGGCUGAGCUGCUGUUAUAAUCAGGACAAGGGGGUAAAUCCCAUUGCCUGUGUUUGAUCCUCAUCUCCUCCACAUAAGGAUGACCAAGAGGCUCCUGCCCCAGAUGCAGCCAGCCCUUUGGGGCUGAUAAUAGCAGUCAUGGCUCCUGGUCUGCUGAUGGCCGUGCAUCAAUGCCAGCCAUGGACAUGGUGUCCUCCGGUAAAAUGACAGAUCAGGUACAAGGAGCUCGUACAGCAAAACCCCAGAUCUUCAACACACAAAGUUAACAGGUGAAACGCAAUCCUCCAUGGACUGUGUGCCAUCCCAUGCUGCUGCAACCCCAAUAUAAAAGCAAAGCAGCUGGUGUUUUGUCCAGCAUGGAAGCCAUGCUUGACCAACAUUUCAUUUUUUGUUGUGUUGAGCUACACAAGAAGGAGAACCCAAGCAGCCUCGUACCACCUCAUGGCAAGCAGCCCUGCCCUGGGGACUUAAGCCUGACUUCUCAAAGCAUCUUAAUAUGUCCCAGCUGGCAGCAAUAAUUGGAUCGUUAUUAAAUAACUGUCUGCAGCAAUAUGCAAUCUGCAGUGCGCUGUACCAAUUAUUUUUUGUUUGCAUCCCUCUAUCUCAAUGUGUCUCCAUCUACCCACCCUACCUCACUGUGAUUCCCAUGAACCAUCUAUUGCAGUG